rnacentral:rRNA from 1 species
ACGGCGAAGUAAUACAUGAACAACGUGCCCUAAAGCCUGGGAUAUACAGUCGAAAGACUGGGCAAUACCAGAUGUGCCGGAAAGACCUCCUGAUCUUUCCAGUAAAGGAUUUAUUCACUUUAGGAGCGGUUCAUGGCCUAUCAGGUAGUUGGUGGGGUAAUGGCCUACCAAGCCGACGACGGGUAGCGGGUCUGAGAGGAUGAUCCGCUCGAGUGGGACUGAGACACGGCCCACACACCUACGGGUGGCAGCAGUUGGGAAUCUUGCACAAUGGGGGAAACCCUGAUGCAGCGACGCCGCGUGGAGGAUGAAGGGUCUAGGCCUGUAAACUCCUUUUAUCGGGAAAGACUUAGGACGGUACCCGAUGAAUAAGCACCGGCUAACUACGUGCCAGCAGCCGCGGUAAGACGUAGGGUGCAAGCGUUGUCCGGAUUUACUGGGCGUAAAGAGCGCGUAGGCGGUCUGUUAAGUGUAGAGUGAAAUCUCCGGGCUCACCCCGGAAACUGCUCUGCAUACUGGCAGACUUGAGGGAUGCAGAGGUUUGUGGAGUUCCUGGUGUAGCGGUGAAAUGCGUUGA